CGGAUUCUUGGGGCAAGGGAAAAGAGGAGGCCUCAUCUAGUUGAGAAAUGCAGUGUGUCAUGGCAGCUGUUGAAAUGCUGUGGGCUAAAUUAAGGGGACUGCCAGCACCUGUACAGCAAGACUGACUCAUGAGGAGGUUGGAAAAAUCAACCUCUGUGUGCAUUCCUGAAGACAGCCUGGUCAGUGGUCACUGAAACAGCCUGAGACAUCUCCCCACUCCAGCUGGUUUACUGCAGGAUGUGCCCCAGCAGAAGUGAGUACCAGUGCUGAAAAAGACUGCUUUUACGAUCACAUCCAGGAUACUAUAAACAGAAGACCCAGAAGAUGACCCCUUAUGCUAACAGGAGACUUCAGUACCCACUUCAGAUG
rnacentral:lncRNA from 1 species